rnacentral:snoRNA from 1 species
GUAUAAUGAUGAAACCCAUGCGUGUCAACUGACUCUGUGAACCCCUGGUGUGUGUUGUCGCUCCCGUCGGCGUUCUGCUGGCUGGAGUGCUCAGGACACCAGGGACCCAGAGACAUGAUCAUACAUCACUACUCUGAAUAC